CAUAGAUAUUGCAACCCAGAAGUGCUAGAAACCACAGAUAAGAAAUAUGGUACAAAUAUUCUUGGGGAAGAUAAAGCAUACACCCAAAAUUCAAGUAUAUUCCUAAAAAAAAACACUAUCAACAUUUCUCAUCGCAACUAUCACAAUAUUUGAACAGGUUAACAUUUAGAAUAUCACUAUAUUUCGGAAGAUACCUUUUGAUUCCUUAUUCAAUAGACCAGUUACUAGUAACUUGACCUUGGCACUAGGUGCGGCAAAAUAAUUAGAAUAAAAGAGCUGAACUCAACUUUCAAAAUUCCGGACGCUACAGUGCAGUUGAAAGUUAACAAUUCAUAGAAGUUCAAAUAUUGAAUACUGACUAUUGAGUAUACAUAUGAGAUUGAAAAAGAAGCAUGAGUUAUGGUAAUCACACUGCAUCCAUCAACUUUUAUAUGGUUUAUCUUAAAAAGAAGGAGGGGCAGCCCUGCUACACAGGAAUCGUGCACAAGAGCAACAAGAUUAGAAAGAAAAAAAUAUGAUAACUUUUAGUAGAAUUGAAAAACUGAGCAAAAAAGAGUGCCAAGAACUCCAUAUAGUAAGUAAGGAACCUCAACAAACAAGCAGUACAUGUAACACCCCAGGUGAACUGACCCAAAUAACUUUAAGCCCUAAACCACCUGGCCCAAUGUGGGAUUGUCCCAUUGAUUGGUACCAACCCUGGGAUAUUUUGGGAUAUUAUAAUCUCUCCCACUAAAUUUUGUGAUGUCCCCAUUGCAACCUAUGCUGAUGAUGUGUUGUAUCGGAUACAAUUGCUAAACCAGGACUGAAUCUUCAGGCAUUGUGGUUCGCUAGUGCCUUGGUCGGUAACAACCCAGUUGAACUGACCUAAAUAACUUUCAGACCCUGAACCACCUGGCCCAAAAUGAUUAACCCAAGUUAUUUAGUACUUAAGGUUAUAUAAAUCCUUUAACAUUUUCAUUUCCCAGUAAUGUGAGAUUGUCCCACUGUUUGGUACCAAGCGCAAAUAAAAUGUAUUCUGAAGUCCAUAUGAUAUUUAUGCAUGCAAAACACAUGAUUAUCUCCUUAAGGGGACCUUUUCCAUCUUUUCUCAACCAAUUACUACAUUUUGAUGUUCAUAUUUAUAUUUGCAUUGCAUCUCAACUAGUAUCAUAUAUAACUGAAUCUUAUAAAGAUUAGGACCAUCAGAGAAAGUUAAAAUCACAAUACAACCAUGGCAACUUGCAAGACCUCCCCCCAACCUUCCCCUUUUUUAUGUGUGUGUCCAUUCCCAUUCAUUCCGGUAUAAGGGAUGGAAACAAGAUAUAGCUAUAGUGAAAAAUUACAAUUCUGCAACUUGCUAAACAUUUUAAUAGGCAUAAAAUGUCCUCUUCUCAUGGUUUUUGCUUGCUAAAAAUUGUAAGAAGCACCUUCUGGUCAAGUAGUUAUCUAAGCUAAUGAUGAUUGUUGUUGCAGCAUAUAUUCCGCAGAAUAAUUCUUAAAUACCAAAAAGAUAUCUAAACUUACAGGAAGAGUCUCCCAUAUUGCUUCAUCACUCAUGCUUUCUUCAUCUCCAGGCAUUAAAGCUCUACACAUCCUAUAAUAAUAAAGAACAUUAAAAAAAAUGCUUAAUAAGCUAUGAAAAUGAUUUCCUAAACUAAAUUUUAAGCAGCAGAAUGAUUUGAAUCAUGAGAGCAUCCUUCCAAGCAGAUAAGUUUAUAUUCUUUCUCGCCAUAGCUAUACUUAAAGUUUAAAACCCUACAAACCCCCUUGAAUCACGAAAGAUUUUAGGCCAUAAUAAAUGGAACCAGUGUUGUCAAAAACAAAGGUGUACUAUGGCAACAAGAACCUUUGCUGCUUGAGGUGAUAGGUGGCACUUUUUAACCUAAAAUAACUAACCAAGGCAAAAAUCACUAAACAUCAUCAUAUCAAGAUUUUUCAAUUAAAAAUUACAUUCCACAUAAUCAUAUAUGCAUCUCAAUCAGCAAAAGAACAUUAAUUCAUAUCAAAUUCUGAAAGCAAAAGAACCAAAUACGAAAUUAAAACUACUAAUCUACUAAUGUUUCUAGCAUGAAAAGUCCUAAGAUGAAUUAACUGAUUCUUAUCUUCUUCUUCACCUCUAUGGCCUUCCUUUUUACACUUAUAUUACCUUUUGCCCUAACAGAAGCUAAGGGAAGGGGAAAAUCUUGCCUUUUAAUUUUUACAAUUGACAUCUCACGCUUUGCAGCAUUUGCCCCUUAAGCCCAAGAUUUACAAGUGAACAAUAGGUAAGCCUCAACUAGCGUAGUAACAUACCCCCAUCUUAUUGGUUCAUGCACACAUUAAAUAUUCUCCCAUGAUACUGUGUACCUAGUAAAUUAAUAUACCCUAUUUCCACAAAAUAACAACUUCAUCAUUCCCAACCCCAUCAAACUGGACAAUGGACGCUAGGAAUGUACCCAUUUGCAUACUAGUGCAAGGACACAUGCAAAAGAUACAAACAAAACCCACCACAUCCUUAUAGCCAACCAUAUGACAUGACAUAUCCUAUUCCUACACUAUAGAAACACACACAAAUGUCAAGCUAAAACCAUCAAUAGCACAGUAAUUAAAUCUAUCCUUAACGUAUCACAUAUUUGGUGGAAUAACAUACUCCAAUCUGUAUAUUAAUUAAUGCACACACCUCCAGUAUGUGCAUUUCAUCUAUGCCUAGCCCAUACUUCUGCACAUCAGACAAAGUGAUGUAACCAAUUUGUAUACAAUUAUCAUAAACCAAAAAUAAAGUGUAAAUGAAUAAUCUCCAAUGCAAAUAAACAUAACUACUCAAAUUCAAAGAAUUCCGCACUAGAGAGGUCAAAAUUACUGUAAAAUUUUAAUAUCUAUUCAUUAGAAAAAUGAACUACAUGGGUGUUUAGUGGAUAAAGAAUAGAAAAAGUUAAUGAUAAUUGAUAAAAGAGGUACCUUAUAUUAUCAAUCAAGAUUGCUAUUUCAAACACCAACAACGGCAGGAAAACAAUCUUCAAGUUUACAACAUAAUUUCUCUCUAGACGUAUGCAAAGGAGUAGUUCAAAAGCAACAAGCAAUGGAGUUGCCAAUACAGCAUGAGAUGGUGCCCAAUGGCGAUCAUUGGGCAUCGAUGGAGCAGGUAAGGAAAACCUGCAACGUGCUACCACCGCAUGAAAUAGCCACAGAGGUGCAAAAAUGAUCCACCACGAGUAAGACCCUGCACGAUCAAGCUUGAGAGCAAGCAAAAGCGUGAAUAAGAAAAGCAGGCUAUGGGCUACAAGAGCCUGCAAAGACGUGGCCACUCUCCUCCAGCUCAUUAUCCCUCUUCUUUGAGCCAACAUAGUUGGGAAAAUUCCAAUUUCAAAGAAAUGAAUUCCCCUUCCCUCUUCUUACUCUGUAGCUUUGAAUUUGCAAAGAAAUGAUCGUUUAGAAAGUAACUGCAGAGGGAAAUAUCAAACGGAAAUUACAAAGAGAGUGACAUCAUAACCGGGACAUUUGUCUAUAUGACUUCGCUUUCACGCCGAAGCUAAGAGAGGAUACUCUGUAUAGAAGGGGGGCAACUUUUUU
rnacentral:misc_RNA from 1 species